UGCCGCAGCUAGCGAGAUCUCGCUCUCACCGUCAACACCAGCAAAGGCCAACCUGUGCUUGGUAAGGCAUAUGGUUACAUCAGAGGUCGGGGUCAUGGACCAAAACCAAAUAGAAGGGCCUACUCAAGCGCAUCAAGCUCAACUCAGCAUGUAGUGGAAGAAUUGGCCUCUACAAAGGAGAUUGUUGCUACGCAACAAGCUCAAAUUGAGGCUCAACAAUCUCAACUUGAAGCUCAACAGAAGAAGAUCGAUUGGCUACAGAGUGUCGUGUCUAACUUGGUUGGCAUUUCACCUCCUAUGACGGCACUAGUGCAACAGGGCUAGGUUUCACAACUGAGCGGCCAAUGCCAUCUGACGGAAUAGGUUCGCUAAUGUCUAACACUGUACAAAGGAUGUCAAGUUAUCCAAGAU